rnacentral:rRNA from 1 species
GAUGAACGCUAGCGGGAGGCCUAAUACAUGCAAGUCGAGCGGUAGGGUCCUUCGGGACCUGAGAGCGGCGCACGGGUGAGUAACGCGUACGUAACCUGCCUCGUAGCGGGGAAUAGCCCCGGGAAACUGGGAUUAAUGCCCCAUAGUGUUACUGGAUCGCAUGGUCUGGUAACUAAAGUUCCGGCGCUACGAGAUGGACGUGCGUGCUAUUAGCUAGUUGGUGAGGUAACGGCUCACCAAGGCGAUGAUAGCUAGGGGGCGUGAGAGCGUGGCCCCCCACACGGGUACUGAGACACGGACCCGACUCCUACGGGAGGCAGCAGUAAGGAAUAUUGGACAAUGGGCGCAAGCCUGAUCCAGCCAUCCCGCGUGCAGGAUGACGGCCCUAUGGGUUGUAAACUGCUUUUAGGGGAGAAGAAACCUGUUCCUGCGGGAGCAGCUGACGGUACCCCCUGAAUAAGCACCGGCUAACUCCGUGCCAGCAGCCGCGGUAAUACGGA